rnacentral:rRNA from 1 species
UACGGAGGGUGCAAGCGUUAUCCGGAUUCACUGGGUUUAAAGGGUGCGUAGGUGGGUCUGUAAGUCCGUGGUGAAAUCUCCGAGCUUAACUUGGAAACUGCCAUGGAUACUAUAGGUCUUGAGUACUGUGGAGGUCAGCGGAAUAUGUCAUGUAGCGGUGAAAUGCUUAGAGAUGACAUAGAACACCAAUUGCGUAGGCAGCUUACUACACGAUCAUUGACGCUGAGGCACGAAAGCGUGGGGAGCAAACAGG